AGAGUUUGAUCAUGGCUCAGAAUGAACGCUGGCGGCGUGCUUUACACAUGCAAGUCGAGCGGAGUCCGACCCGAGGGGCAACCCGAGGGACGGGCUCAGCGGCAAACGGGUGAGUAAUGGACAGGUAACGUACCCCCUAGACGUGGAUAGCUCAUCGAAAGAUGAGAUAAUACGCGAUAAUGUUGCAGGGCGAUGGCUCUGCAAAGAAAGCGGGCGCAAGCUCGCGCUUCCGGAUCGGCCUGUCUCCUAUCAGCUUGUUGGUGGGGUAAGAGCCUACCAAGGCGAUGACGGGUAGCUGGUCUUAGAGGAUGGUCAGCCACAUUGGAACUGCGACACGGUCCAGACUCCUACGGGAGGCAGCAGUGGGGAAUCAUGGUCAAUGGGCGAAAGCCUGAACCUGCGACGCCGCGUGAGUGAUGAAGGUCGUAAGAUCGUAAAACUCUUUUCAGGGACAUUAACGCUCCGGCUCUAACAUAGCCUGGAGUCUGACUCUCCCUGGAAUAAGCCCCAGCCAACUACGUGCCAGCAGCUGCGGUAAUACGUAGGGGGCGAGCGUUAUUCGGAAUUACUGGGUGUAAAGGGUAUGUAGGCGGCCUCACAAGUCGCGUGUCAAAGUCCAGCGCUCAACGCUGGGUUCGCACGCGAUACUGUAUGGCUUGAGGACUGGAGAGGUGAGCGGAAUUCCCGGUGUAGUGGUAAAAUACGUAGAUAUCGGGAGGAACACCAGCGGCGUAGGCGGCUCACUAGACAGUUUCUGACGCUAAGAUACGAAAGCGUGGGGAGCAAACAGGAUUAGAUACCCUGGUAGUCCACGCCCUAAACGAUGGAUACUUGGUGUUGGGGGGUUACCUUCAGUGCCGGAGCUAACGCGUUAAGUAUCCCACCUGGGGACUACGGCCGCAAGGCUAAAACUCAAAGGAAUUGACGG
rnacentral:rRNA from 1 species